rnacentral:rRNA from 1 species
AUGGCUACGUCUUGCAGAUUUCCCCUCCGGGGAGAAUUCGCGGGCAGCUUGGACCACCUAGAUCCGGUUCCUCUGGCGGGGCUCCCGAGGAUUGAUGGCACCCGCGUUGAGCCGGCUGACUCGAACGCUGGGUCUGGGUGUGGGCACCAUAUUGACAGCGCUAACCAAGGGCGCCCAGAUGCCAACGAGAUUCGCACAAUCUACCGAGAGGAAGACCAUGGCAAAGGUUUAAUGCAUCUGAUAUCUCACCGGCGGUUACAUCUAGGGAGCACGCCGCCUGAUAGAACCCCAUGCCCAUCUAGGAUGAGUGCCCUAGAGCAGUCAAUCCGCAAGUAUGCAGAGGAACCAACGAAAAGUGUAGUUCGUCCUGAAGUGGGACGGAGUUUCGACUUACUCGGCGAGGCGUACGACUUCUACAAUUUGUAUUCAUGGGAGAUUGGUUUUGGCAUAAGAGUUCUUGCUGAUAGUGAUAGCAGGGUUAAGAAUCUGAUGUGGACAAAUGGAAAUAGUCAGAUGCAGUACCGACGCUUUGGCGAUGUCGUUACAUUCGACACGAGUUGGAAUAAAAUUGAAGGGCUCCAAAUCCCUCAUGAAGCUGGCAACGUCUGGUUAUUCAUGGAUUCGUGCCUCCGGCGACGGUGCAUCUCCUCCCUCGGCAACCGGAGAACCCCCUCUGAUAACCUUCAGUCUGAAACAUGCACUGAACUUGCUCUCAUCAUCUAUGACAUGGACAAACCCACGUUCGGACCAAACUCUACAUGGAAGCAGGCGAAGUUCUCUGGGAUGACUUGCCACAGCAUAAUUCUCUCAAACAGGACAGUGAAAGCAAAGUUAAGAUGGCUAUCUGGGUCUCAUGGACAACAAAACAAUGUUGUUGAUGUUGGUGGAACUGAACUCGUGUGUCUAAGAGGUUUCCUCUUCAGCUUCAUCAAUUGCCUGGAGUGA